UCCCACAUGGCGNAGUGGUCAGGAUUCCUGGUUUUCACCCAGGCAGCCCAGGNUUCACUCCCGGUGUGGGAA
rnacentral:tRNA from 2 species